AUGCUGAAGGUGAGAUGGGAUCUCCCAUGGGAGAUGGGAGCUCAUACAGUUUGCAGACCACCAUCCAAAAUCUGUGAAGAUGCACACAGAGACUUGCCACUCAGCAACAACUCAAAAUCAACAACUCAAGAGUUGUCCAGGAAGAAGUCUGGCAGAUCUCUGGAUACCAGGUUGCCUCUUAAUUCCUGGUCCAAGAAUGGUUACUAGAAUAUGGAUUGUAUACAUAUAAAGCAAGUAUGGUGGAACAGUUUGCUUUAGGGAAAGAUGCAAAACAGGCUGACAGGCCAGGAGAAAGCUCUAUGCCUCUUGAAAAUUAGAUGAUGUC
rnacentral:lncRNA from 1 species